CUGACGCUGGACAACAGGCUCGACUCCCAGGGCGUCCUCAGCACCCCGUACUUCCCCAGCUACUACUCGCCCCAAACCCACUGCUCCUGGCACCUCACGGUGCCCUCUCUGGACUACGGCUUGGCCCUCUGGUUUGAUGCCUAUGCACUGAGGAGGCAGAAGUAUGAUUUGCCGUGCACCCAGGGCCAGUGGACGAUCCAGAACAGGAGAGUUUGAAUAUCUAAGAUGCCAGUCUUGGAAGAUGCCAAAAUUGGAAGGCUCUGGGGCUCUAGAAUUCUUGGAUUUCUGGGGUGUGUGUUCCCAAUCACCAACACUUGUAAUUUGCUUGUUGGCUGAUCCUAUUCAAAAGGAUCAUCCAGACAAAAGGUGACGAAGAAUGACAAGGUUUGCUUGACUCCUUUUUGCAAUUUAUCUGGGACUAGGAUUAAAAGAAAGGAGAAGAAAUA
rnacentral:lncRNA from 1 species